ACAUUUUUAUGCCUCGUCUAGUUACACUCCCAGCUGUGCCUGGCUAUGACUAGCUGCGCAUUCUAGAGCUCUUUAGAACUACUUCAGAGUUGCAGGAUAAAGAUUUCUAGGGAAGAGGGCAGGGCCAGGCGCCCGGAGAAUUUCCAGCCACGGGCUAGUUUACCAAGAGAAAGAGCUGCGGGCGUCUCUCCCUCUUUUACAUAAGAAAGCAAGAGCUUUCUUCUGGCACAUCUGGUUUAUGUGAAUACAUUAGUGAGUUUCCCAGGAAGCCGCAGCAUCACACAAAGGCCCAUGAUCAUUUCACCAGGACAAAAAACAUGUGUUCACAACACCCACCCUUAUUGAUUCUCUUGGUAAGGAAGAAGAGAGGAUCAUAAACUAGAAGUGAAAAAGUGGAGAAAAAUGAUGCUUGCCUCACUCUGCUGUAACAA